CGGGGAAUAUUGUACAAUGGGCGAAAGCAUGAUGCAGCGACGCCGCGUGAGUGAAGAAGUAUUUCGGUAUGUAAAGCUCUAUUAGCAGGGAAGAAAAUGACGGUACCUGACUAAGAAGCCCCGGCUAACUACGUGCCAGCAGCCGCGGUAAUACGUAGGGGGCAAGCGUCAUCCGGAUUUACUGGGUGUAAAGGGCGCGUAGACGGCGAAGCAAGUCUGAAGUGAAAACCCAGGGCUCAACCCUGAGACUGCUUUGGAAACUGUUUUGCUAGAGUGUCGGGGAGGUAAGUGGAAUUCCUAGUGUAGCGGUGAAAUUCGUAGAUAUUAGGAGGAACACCAGUGGCGGAGGCGGCUUGCUGGACGAUAACUGACGUUGAGGCUCGAAAGCGUGAGGAGCAAACAGU
rnacentral:rRNA from 1 species